rnacentral:rRNA from 1 species
AUUGAACGCUGGCGGCAGGCCUAACACAUGCAAGUCGAACGAGUGGCGGACGGGUGAGUAAUGUCUGGGAAACUGCCUGAUGGAGGGGGAUAACUACUGGAAACGGUAGCUAAUACCGCAUACCAUCAGAUGUGCCCAGAUGGGAUUAGCUAGUGGGGGGGGUAUCGGCUAACCAAGGCGACGAUCCCUAGCUGGUCGGAGAGGAUGACCGGCCAAACUGGAACUGAGACACGGUCCAGACUCCUACGGGAGGCAGCAGUGGGGAAUAUUGCACAAUGGGCGCAAGCCUGAUGCAGCCAUGCCGCGUGUGUGAAGAAGGCCUUCGGGUUGUAAAGUACUUUCAGCGGGGAGGCGUUACCCGCAGAGGAAGCACCGGCUAACUCCGUGCCAGCAGCCGCGGGAAUAC